rnacentral:rRNA from 1 species
UACGUAGGGUGCAAGCGUUGUCCGGAAUUAUUGGGCGUAAAGAGCUCGUAGGCGGCCUGUCGCGUCGGCUGUGAAAACCCGAGGCUCAACCUCGGGCCUGCAGUCGAUACGGGCAGGCUGGAGUUCGGUAGGGGAGACUGGAAUUCCUGGUGUAGCGGUGAAAUGCGUAGAUAUCUGGAGGAAUACCGGUGGCGAAGGCGGCAUCCUGGACCGACAUUGACGCUGAGGAGCGAAAGCUAGGGGAGCAAACGGG